rnacentral:rRNA from 1 species
ACGGGAAGAGCCCAAACCAACAAGCUUGCUUGUUGGGGUUGUAGGACACUCUAUACGGAGUUACAAAGGACGACAUUAGACGAAUCAUCUGGAAAGAUGAAUCAAAGAAGGUAAUAAUCCUGUAGUCGAAAAUGUUGUCUCUCUUGAGUGGAUCCUGAGUACGACGGAGCACGUGAAAUUCCGUCGGAAUCUGGGAGGACCAUCUCCUAAGGCUAAAUACUCUCUAGUGACCGAUAGUGAACCAGUACCGUGAGGGAAAGGUGAAAAGCACCCCGGAAGGGGAGUGAAAUAGAACCUGAAACCGUGUGCUUACAAGUAGUCAGAGCCCGUUAAUGGGUGAUGGCGUGCCUUUUGUAGAAUGAACCGGCGAGUUACGAUUUGAUGCAAGGUUAAGCAGUAAAUGUGGAGCCGUAGCGAAAGCGAGUCUGAAUAGGGCGUUUAGUAUUUGGUCGUAGACCCGAAACCAGGUGAUCUACCCUUGGUCAGGUUGAAGUUCAGGUAACACUGAAUGGAGGACCGAACCGACUUACGUUGAAAAGUGAGCGGAUGAACUGAGGGUAGCGGAGAAAUUCCAAUCGAACCUGGAGAUAGCUGGUUCUCUCCGAAAUAGCUUUAGGGCUAGCCUCAAGUGAUGAUUAUUGGAGGUAGAGCACUGUUUGGACGAGGGGCCCCUCUCGGGUUACCGAAUUCAGACAAACUCCGAAUGCCAAUUAAUUUAACUUGGGAGUCAGAACAUGGGUGAUAAGGUCCGUGUUCGAAAGGGAAACAGCCCAGACCACCAGCUAAGGUCCCAAAAUAUAUGUUAAGUGGAAAAGGAUGUGGCGUUGCCCAGACAACUAGGAUGUUGGCUUAGAAGCAGCCAUCAUUUAAAGAGUGCGUAAUAGCUCACUAGUCGAGUGACACUGCGCCGAAAAUGUACCGGGGCUAAACAUAUUACCGAAGCUGUGGAUUGUCCUUUGGACAAUGGUAGGAGAGCGUUCUAAGGGCGUUGAAGCAUGAUCGUAAGAACAUGUGGAGCGCUUAGAAGUGAGAAUGCCGGUGUGAGUAGCGAAAGACGGGUGAGAAUCCCGUCCACCGAUUGACUAAGGUUUCCAGAGGAAGGCUCGUCCGCUCUGGGUUAGUCGGGUCCUAAGCUGAGGCCGACAGGCGUAGGCGAUGGAUAACAGGUUGAUAUUCCUGUACCACCUAUAAUCGUUUUAAUCGAUGGGGGGACGCAGUAGGAUAGGCGAAGCGUGCGAUUGGAUUGCACGUCUAAGCAGUAAGGCUGAGUAUUAGGCAAAUCCGGUACUCGUUAAGGCUGAGCUGUGAUGGGGAGAAGACAUUGUGUCUUCGAGUCGUUGAUUUCACACUGCCGAGAAAAGCCUCUAGAUAGAAAAUAGGUGCCCGUACCGCAAACCGACACAGGUAGUCAAGAUGAGAAUUCUAAGGUGAGCGAGCGAACUCUCGUUAAGGAACUCGGCAAAAUGACCCCGUAACUUCGGGAGAAGGGGUGCUCUUUAGGGUUAACGCCCAGAAGAGCCGCAGUGAAUAGGCCCAAGCGACUGUUUAUCAAAAACACAGGUCUCUGCUAAACCGUAAGGUGAUGUAUAGGGGCUGACGCCUGCCCGGUGCUGGAAGGUUAAGAGGAGUGGUUAGCUUCUGCGAAGCUACGAAUCGAAGCCCCAGUAAACGGCGGCCGUAACUAUAACGGUCCUAAGGUAGCGAAAUUCCUUGUCGGGUAAGUUCCGACCCGCACGAAAGGCGUAACGAUUUGGGCACUGUCUCAACGAGAGACUCGGUGAAAUCAUAGUACCUGUGAAGAUGCAGGUUACCCGCGACAGGACGGAAAGACCCCGUGGAGCUUUACUGUAGCCUGAUAUUGAAAUUCGGCACAGCUUGUACAGGAUAGGUAGGAGCCUUUGAAACGUGAGCGCUAGCUUACGUGGAGGCGCUGGUGGGAUACUACCCUAGCUGUGUUGGCUUUCUAACCCGCACCACUUAUCGUGGUGGGAGACAGUGUCAGGCGGGCAGUUUGACUGGGGCGGUCGCCUCCUAAAAGGUAACGGAGGCGCUCAAAGGUUCCCUCAGAAUGGUUGGAAAUCAUUCAUAGAGUGUAAAGGCAUAAGGGAGCUUGACUGCGAGACCUACAAGUCGAGCAGGGUCGAAAGACGGACUUAGUGAUCCGGUGGUUCCGCAUGGAAGGGCCAUCGCUCAACGGAUAAAAGCUACCCCGGGGAUAACAGGCUUAUCUCCCCCAAGAGUUCACAUCGACGGGGAGGUUUGGCACCUCGAUGUCGGCUCAUCGCAUCCUGGGGCUGUAGUCGGUCCCAAGGGUUGGGCUGUUCGCCCAUUAAAGCGGUACGCGAGCUGGGUUCAGAACGUCGUGAGACAGUUCGGUCCCUAUCCGUCGUGGGCGUAGGAAAUUUGAGAGGAGCUGUCCUUAGUACGAGAGGACCGGGAUGGACAUACCUCUGGUGUACCAGUUGUCGUGCCAACGGCAUAGCUGGGUAGCUAUGUGUGGACGGGAUAAGUGCUGAAAGCAUCUAAGCAUGAAGCCCCCCUCAAGAUGAGAUUUC